rnacentral:misc_RNA from 1 species
CGGUUUUCGAGUUGUUACGAUAAACUGAAUCCAAAGAUAGAAUAGGUUCCAUGGAAUCAAAUAAAUGGAUGCCUGAUGACAGGAAGCUCCGUAUUGUGUUUUUCAACUUUUCACUUAACUCUGGGGAUCAGCUUGCACCAACAACACUUUGAUAACCCGGUGGCGGAGUUGACUGCGUCGAAGUCCUCUGGGAAAAUCUUCUGAACCAACCACUGGAAUUACUAUUCCUGGAUGUGUCAGAUAAUCUUGAGGUGGCCUGUG